UCUUAUUAAAGAAAUGUAAUUAAAUAAUCCAGUAUUGUGUAGAAUAAUUUCAGUGUAAAUCCACUGUCCAUAAUAAAGUAAUUUUCAUUCUACAUUGUGUGAAUCUUGGUGGUGAUGAUGCAGGGUAUAAACAUUAUUUUGAUAAAUUAAAAUUCCUUUUAAGUACUGCCUUAAAUUUAACAUUUUCAUCUGAUAUAAUAAAUGUUAUUAAUUUGAAAUCAGUUUAAUUAUCCCAAUAUUCUUAACGAAAUUCCAGCACACACAAAAUUUUUCAAAUACUUCUCAGCAGAUAUAAUUUUAUUAAUGAAAAUUAAAUCAUCAUUGUGAGGCAUUUGGGCUUAGAAUUAAAUAUUAAAAAUCAGAUUAGUCUUUGUAUUAGUAUUGAGAUUUACACUAAUGUUCAUUGAAAAUAUAUUGAAGUUCAAAUAUAAUGAAGUGGAAUGUAUAGAAAUAUUAAUAUGCGUUCCGGAGUAACUAAUUUUCUUUCCUGAGCAAAGCAAAUUCUAGAAUCUGAAAUCUCCUCUUAAUUGCUGAAUUGUACUUUUUCAAAUCUCUGUUUUCUUCAUUACUAACAUGAAGACCCUAAGCUUAUUCAAAACUUUUCUCUCCCUACAGGCUAUUUUAUAGAGCUACCAUUUCUUAGGACAGACCUCCAAAUGGAACAAAAGCACAGCCUUUCUCUGUUGCUGUUUCUUGUCAGUCCCAAUAAAAGAAGAAGGACAAGAUAGCCUCUCCAGCCGCAGGAAAGUCAUAACCCCAGUUAUCCUUUGGUAAAAGGACUUGUUCAGUUCCAGUUCUAAGAAUGUUCUUGCAUGUAACCUGAGCAACAGAACAGAGGAAACAGACUGACCUGCCCUUACAGAACAAGCUAUGAUGACAAGUAACCAGCCUUGCACAUCCAAAAUAAAAUAAUACUGUGUA